rnacentral:rRNA from 1 species
GAUGAACGCUGGCGGCGUGCCUAACACAUGCAAGUCGAGCGGAGAAUUGUUGCUUGCAACAAUUCUUAGCGGCGGACGGGUGAGUAACACGUGGGUAACCUGCCCUAAACAAAGGGAUAACAAUGAGAAAUCAUUGCUAAUACCGUAUAAGCUUACACUAUCGCAUGAUAGAGUAAGAAAAGAUUUAUCGGUUUAGGAGGGGCCCGCGUCUGAUUAGCUAGUUGGAGAGGUAACGGCUCACCAAGGCGACGAUCAGUAGCCGACCUGAGAGGGUGAUCGGACACAUUGAGACUGAGACACGGCACAAACUCCUGCGGGGGGCAGCAGUGGAGAAUAUUGCACAAUGGAGGAAACUCUGAUGCAGCAGCGCCGCGUGAAGGAAGAAGGUUUUCGGAGCGUAAACUUCUAUCUACAGGGGAGAAAAAAAUGACGGUACCUGAGGAAGAAGCCCCGGCUAACUACGUG